rnacentral:rRNA from 1 species
GACGAACGCUGGCGGCGUGCCUAAUACAUGCAAGUAGAACGCUGAAGGAGGAGCUUGCUUCUCUGGAUGAGUUGCGAACGGGUGAGUAACGCGUAGGUAACCUGCCUGGUAGCGGGGGAUAACUAUUGGAAACGAUAGCUAAUACCGCAUAAGAGUAGAUGUUUCAUGACAUUUGCUUAAAAGGUGCAAUUGCAUCACUACCAGAUGGACCUGCGUUGUAUUAGCUAGUUGGUGGGGUAACGGCUUACCAAGGCGACGAUACAUAGCCGACCUGAGAGGGUGAUCGGCCACACUGGGACUGAGACACGGCCCAGACUCCUACGGGAGGCAGCAGUAGGGAAUCUUCGGCAAUGGACGGAAGUCUGACCGAGCAACGCCGCGUGAGUGAAGAAGGUUUUCGGAUCGUAAAGCUCUGUUGUAAGAGAAGAACGAGUGUGAGAGUGGAAAGUUCACACUGUGACGGUAUCUUACCAGAAAGGGACGGCUAACUACGUG